ACGAACGCUGGCGGCGUGCCUAAUACAUGCAAGUUGAGCGCUGAAGGUUGGUACUUGUACCAACUGGAUGAGCAGCGAACGGGUGAGUAACGCGUGGGGAAUCUGCCUUUGAGCGGGGGACAACAUUUGGAAACGAAUGCUAAUACCGCAUAAAAACUUUAAACACAAGUUUUAAGUUUGAAAGAUGCAAUUGCAUCACUCAAAGAUGAUCCCGCGUUGUAUUAGCUAGUUGGUGAGGUAAAGGCUCACCAAGGCGAUGAUACAUAGCCGACCUGAGAGGGUGAACGGCCACAUUGGGACUGAGACACGGCCCAAACUCCUACGGGAGGCAGCAGUAGGGAAUCUUCGGCAAUGGACGAAAGUCUGACCGAGCAACGCCGCGUGAGUGAAGAAGGUUUUCGGAUCGUAAAACUCUGUUGGUAGAGAAGAACGUUGGUGAGAGUGGAAAGCUCAUCAAGUGACGGUAACUACCCAGAAAGGGACGGCUAACUACGUG
rnacentral:rRNA from 1 species